GCUUUUUGAAGCAGGUCGUGUGAACAGAGCUGCUUCACUGAAGAGACGCGCCAACGGUUAAUCUUUGAAAACAACGUGAAUCGGUCCAUGUGAGAAGAUGCAGUGGAAGUGACUCUGCUGAUGAUCAUGUGUUCCAAGACCUUGACCUUGGAAUCCUCCUUGUUGAGCGUGAAGGUGCUGUGUCUCCGUCCUCUCUGCAUCUCAAUCCAGCCUCAUUUAAGAUUGUCAUCGAGGGAGAAGUUGUGAUGAAAAGCAUUAAAGACUUGCCAAAGGCUAUGUGCCUUCUCUUUGGACUUACAUAUGCACUUCAUCUAAGCUACCCCAAACCAUUGAAGAACACAUUUCAGUUCAUCCAGCAGGUACUUCUAAUGUUGGGCCACACUGACUUGAAGCCCAGGUUACAGACAUUAAAGAACCAGCUUGCAAUUUAAUUUUGACAGGAGUGGCUGUUUACUGUUCUUGAUGUGCACAAUUAAUCUCUGAGGUGAUUCUCUUGUUCCAAAUAUCCUGUCAUUGCUGUAAGUUAAAUUAAACCAGUUAAAUUGAAAGAGGUUAAAAGAGAAAGAGGUUAAAAGAGAAAAUAAAGAGUUAAAUUGUACCAGUUUUCUGUGGUAAAAAUGUUUAAAAUUCACAGGAGUCAUCUUUGUUUCAAAGAGUUGACUCAAGUUUUAAUGCUUAUCUAGUUUCAAUGCAUGUUUAGUCAUUCAGAGGGAUAUGGCAUAUUGUUGAAUACUAUGUGUUCAUGUUACUGUAAGCAAUCUGUACAGUUGUUGACUAGCAAAUAAGAAUUGUAUGUCAAAAAAAAAAUGUUACUUGUCUUUUGUAUGACAAGUUCAUACAUGGAGGAAUACACUGUACUGCUUGUUUUUAUGAGCAAUAAAAACAUUGGAAUGCGGUUAGUUUAUUUCUUUAACUAGUAUUAUUUCUUAAUUUUAAGGCAUUAUGUAAUAUAUCAUUUAUCAAUAGAAUUAAUAUUCAAUAAGAUUUUUUAAUAUAAAUUGUACACCAAAAAAAAAAAAAUAGUGUGAACUAAUGGUUUUCAGUAAAGACUACUAAUGCAAACCUGAUUUGUCUGUUGCACCCACUAACAUUUUUAUGUUUACAAAGCUUAACCCGUUUAGUUUUAGAUUUGUAAAAACUAAUCUUGUUUAGUGCAACGGGUUUCCACGCAAUU